rnacentral:rRNA from 1 species
AUUGAACGCUGGCGGCCGGCCUAACACAUGCAAGUCGAACGAGUGGCGGACGGGUGAGUAAUGUCUGGGAAACUGCCUGAUGGAGGGGGAUAACUACUGGAAACGGUAGCUAAUACCGCAUACCAUCGGAUGUGCACAGAUGGGUGUAGCUAGUAGGUGGGGUAAAGGCUCACAUAGGCGACGAUCCCUAGAUGGUCUGAGAGGAUGACGAGCCACACUGGAACUAGGACACGGUCCAGACUCCUACGGGAGGAGGCAGUGGGUAAUAUUGCACAAUGGGCGCAAGCCUGAUGCAGCCAUGCCGCGUGUAUGAAGAAGGCCUUCGGGUUGUAAAGUACUUUCAGCGGGGAGGCGUUACCCGCAGAAGAAGCACCGGCUAACUCCGUGCCAGCAGCCGCGGUAAUUC